rnacentral:sRNA from 1 species
GCUGGGAGCAGUGGUGCAUGCCUGUAAUUCCAGCAGCAUGGGAGGCUGAGACAGGAGGAUCAUGAGUUCAAAGACAGCCUCAGCAGUGUUGAGGCGUUAAGCAACACAGUGAGACCCUGUCUCUA